GGCGAGUGGCGAACGGGUGAGUAAUACAUCGGAACGUGUCCUGGAGUGGGGGAUAGCCCGGCGAAAGCCGGAUUAAUACCGCAUACGCUCUGUGGAGGAAAGCGGGGGAUCUUUCGGGACCUCGCGCUCAAGGGGCGGCCGAUGGCAGAUUAGGUAGUUGGUGGGGUAAAGGCCUACCAAGCCGACGAUCUGUAGCUGGUCUGAGAGGACGACCAGCCACACUGGGACUGAGACACGGCCCAGACUCCUACGGGAGGCAGCAGUGGGGAAUUUUGGACAAUGGGCGCAAGCCUGAUCCAGCAAUGCCGCGUGUGUGAAGAAGGCCUUCGGGUUGUAAAGCACUUUUGUCCGGAAAGAAAACCUCUGGGUUAAUACCCUGGGGGGAUGACGGUACCGGAAGAAUAAGCACCGGCUAACUACGUGCCAGCAGCCGCGGUAAUACGUAGGGUGCGAGCGUUAAUCGGAAUUACUGGGCGUAAAGCGUGCGCAGGCGGUGAUGUAAGACCGAUGUGAAAUCCCCGGGCUUAACCUGGGAACUGCAUUGGUGACUGCAUCGCUCGAGUAUGGCAGAGGGGGGUAGAAUUCACGUGUAGCAGUGAAAUGCGUAGAGAUGUGGAGGAAUACGAUGGCGAAGGCAGCCCCUGGGUCAUACUGACGCUCAU
rnacentral:rRNA from 1 species